GAAAUAUUAACUGUUUCAUUUAAAUUUUUUAUAGAAUUUUAUUUUUUAGUCAAAAAGCUAAAAUAAAUUUAAAAGACGAGAAGACCCUAUAAAUCUUUAUAUUUUGUUUAUUUUAAUUAUAAAGAUUAUUUUUAUUAUAAUAAAUUAAAAUAUUUUAUUGGGGUGAUAUUAAAAUUUAAAAAACUUUUAAUUUUUAAAACCAUUAAUUUAUGAAUAAUUGAUCCAUUAAUAAUGAUUAAAAAUUUAAGUUACUUUAGGGAUAACAGCGUAAUUUUUUUGGAGAGUUCAUAUCGAUAAAAAAGAUUGCGACCUCGAUGUUGGAUUAAGAUAUAAUUUUGGGUGUAGCCGUUCAAAUUUUAAGUCUGUUCGACUUUUAAAUUCUU
rnacentral:rRNA from 2 species